GACGAACGCUGGCGGCGUGCUUAACACAUGCAAGUCGAACGGAAAGGCCCUGCUUUUGUGGGGUGCUCGAGUGGCGGACGGGUGAGUAACACGUGAGUAACCUGUCCUUGACUUUGGGAUAACUUCAGGAAACUUGGGCUCAUACCCGAUAGGAGCUUCUGCUGCAUGGUGGGGGUUGGAAAGUUUCGGCGGUUGGGGAUGGACUCGCGGCUUAUCAGCUUGUUGGUGGGGUAGUGGCUUACCAAGGUUUUGACGGGUAGCCGACAUGGGAGGGUGGACGGGGCCAAGGGGACUAAGGGACGGAGCAGUAGGGAACGUGAGGCAAUAGGGGAGAGUAUGACACAGUGAGCGGGAGCCAGAGACGAAAGCGCCGGGUGCGGAAAGACGGCUUACGGGGUAUGAACAGCUUUCGCCUGAGACAGAGCGGUAGUGACGGUAACGGAUAAAGAAGCACCGGCUAACUACGUG
rnacentral:rRNA from 1 species